rnacentral:rRNA from 1 species
UACGGAGGGGGCUAGCGUUGUUCGGAAUUACUGGGCGUAAAGCGUACGCAGGCGGCUAUGUAAGACAGGUGUGAAAUCCCCGGGCUUAACCUGGGAACUGCAUUUGUGACUGCAUAGCUAGAGUCUGUCAGAGGGGGGUGGAAUUCCACGUGUAGCAGUGAAAUGCGUAGAGAUCCGGAGGAACACCAGUGGCGAAGGCGACACGCUGGGCCAUACCUGACGCUAAAGCGCGACAGCAUGGGGAGCAAACGGG